rnacentral:tRNA from 1 species
GGACCUGGGCGCGGCCCUGGGAGAUGUGGUCGCCGCUGACGUCGGGGUCGAUGUCGGGCAGCGGCCCGUCCGGGUCGUAGCCGGACAGGUCCC